UACGGAGGGUGCAAGCGUUAUCCGGAUUCACUGGGUUUAAAGGGUGCGUAGGUGGGCAGGAAAGUCAGUGGUGAAAUCUCCGGGCUUAACCCGGAAACUGCCGUUGAUACUAUUUGUCUUGAAUAUUGUGGAGGUAAGCGGAAUAUGUCAUGUAGCGGUGAAAUGCUUAGAUAUGACAUAGAACACCAAUUGCGAAGGCAGCUUACUACACAAUGAUUGACACUGAGGCACGAAAGCGUGGGGAUCAAACAGG
rnacentral:rRNA from 1 species